rnacentral:rRNA from 1 species
GACGAACGCUGGCGGCGUGCUUAACACAUGCAAGUCGAACGGAAAGGCCCUGCUUUUGUGGGGUGCUCGAGUGGCGAACGGGUGAGUAACACGUGAGUAACCUGCCCUUGACUUUGGGAUAACUUCAGGAAACUGGGGCUAAUACCGGAUAGGAGCUCCUGCUGCAUGGUGGGGGUUGGAAAGUUUCGGCGGUUGGGGAUGGACUCGCGGCUUAUCAGCUUGUUGGUGGGGUAGUGGCUUACCAAGGCUUUGACGGGUAGCCGGCCUGAGAGGGUGACCGGCCACAUGGGGACGGAGAUACGGCCCAGACUCCUACGGGAGGGAGCAGUGGGGAAUAUUGCACAAUGGGCGGAAGCCUGAUGCAGCAACGCCGCGUGCGGGAUGACGGCCUUCGGGUUGUAAACCGCUUUCGCCUGUGACGAAGCGUGAGUGACGGUAAUGGGGAAAGAAGCACCGGCUAACUACGU